rnacentral:rRNA from 1 species
CGCCUGUUUAUCAAAAACAUGUCUUUUUGAUUAAUAAUUUAAAGUCUGGUCUGCCCACUGAUUAAAAUAAUUAAAGGGCUGCAGUAUUUUGACUGUACAAAGGUAGCAUAAUAAUUAGUCUUUUAAUUGAUGACUUGUAUGAAUGAUUGGAUAAAAUAUAAGCUGUCUCUUAAUAAAUUUAUAGAAUUUAAUUUUUUAUUUAAAAAGUUAAAAUAAUUUUAAAAGACGAGAAGACCCUAUAGAGUUUAAUAAUUUUAUAAAUUAAAAUUAUAUUUAUAAAUUUAAUUAAAAAUUAUAUAAUUAUUUUAUUGGGGUGAUAAAAAAAUUAAUAAAACUUUUUUUAAAUAUUAACAAAAAUAAUUGAAUAUUUGAUCCAAUUUUAUUUUGAUUAUAAGAUUAAAUUACCUUAGGGAUAACAGVGUAAUUUUUUUUUUAGUUCUUAUAAAAAAUAAAGUUUGCGACCUCGAUGUUGGAUUAAGAUAAAAUUUAAAUGCAAAAGUUUAAAAUUUUGAUCUGUUCGAUCAUUAAAAUCUUACAUGAUCUGAGUUCAAACCGGAG